CCUACGCGGGGCAGCCGUAGGGAAUCUUCGGCAAUGGACGAAAGUCUGACCGAGCAACGCCGCGUGAGUGAAGAAGGUUUUCUGAUCGUAAAACUCUGUUGGUAGAGAAGCACGUUGGUGAGAGUGGAAAGCUCAUCAAGUGACGGUAACUACCCAGAAAGGGACGGCUAACUACGUGCCAGCAGCCGCGGUAAUACGUAGGUCCCGAGCGUUGUCCGGAUUUAUUGGGCGUAAAGCGAGCGCAGGUGGUUUAUUAAGUCUGGUGUAAAAGGCAGGGGCUCAACCAUUGUAUGCAUUGGAAACUGGUAGACUUGAGUGCAGGAGAGGAGAGUGGAAUUCCAUGUGUAGCGGUGAAAUGCGUAGAUAUAUGGAGGAACACCGGUGGCGAAGGCGGCCUGCUGGACUGCAACUGACGUUGAGGCCCGAAAGCGUGGGGAGCAAACAGGAUUAGAUACCCUUGUAGUC
rnacentral:rRNA from 1 species